GAAGACAGUCAAUUUGAGAGUGGAUGGUGAAGGAAUAGGUGGCUGAAUCUUUGCACAUUGUUAGGAUAUCAUCUGGCUCAUUAUUUUCAGUGUCUCUGGACACUGAUAAGCACUUUCUAAGAACGCUGCUGGAAGGGUAGGAGAGGUUUGGAGGGGAUCUCCUCUCAUUAUACCAUUCCCCCAUACACAGUACACACAUGUAUUAACUGAUAUCAAAAGAAAGCAGCUGAAGAUCUGCUUCCAGAUGUCUCAGUGGGGAAACACAGUCCCAAUGCAGAAUAAAGACCCCAUUGAGCAUAGGUA
rnacentral:lncRNA from 1 species